UGGUGGCUAACAUGCAUACCUCAACAUAUACAAUGGUUGAACCAAGAAUCCUUCAAAAAUUGGUCCGAUUUUCCACUCUAAGUACAAAAUACCCCAUAAAAACUAAACAAUUGCUGCAACCAAGCAAACAACUAUCUAACAUUAACUUAAUAAGAACCCACAAAAUUUUUAACCAAACACAUAGCAAACAGAGGUGGCAU
rnacentral:lncRNA from 1 species